AUUGAACGCUGGCGGCAGGCUUAACACAUGCAAGUCGAGCGGAGAUGAGGUGCUUGCACCUUAUCUUAGCGGCGGACGGGUGAGUAAUGCUUAGGAAUCUGCCUAUUAGUGGGGGACAACAUUCCGAAAGGAAUGCUAAUACCGCAUACGCCCUACGGGGGAAAGCAGGGGAUCUUCGGACCUUGCGCUAAUAGAUGAGCCUAAGUCGGAUUAGCUAGUUGGCGGGGUAAAGGCCUACCAAGGCGACGAUCUGGAGCGGGUCUGAGAGGAUGAUCCGCCACACUGGGACUGAGACACGGCCCAGACUCCUACGGGAGGCAGCAGCGGGGAAUAUUGGACAAUGGGCGGAAGCCUGAUCCAGCCAUGCCGCGUGUGUGAAGAAGGCCUUUUGGUUGUAAAGCACUUUAAGCGAGGAGGAGGCUACCUGGAUUAAUACUCUAGGAUAGUGGACGUUACUCGCAGGAUAAGCACCGGCUAACUCUGUGCCAGCCGCCGCCGUAAUAC
rnacentral:rRNA from 1 species